AUGUCAACCUCUCUAACACAACCCAUGAGGCCAGAGUCUAAGCCCAGCUUCGAUCCCUCUUCUUCUAGCAAAACCAAUCUGCAAGCACUUCCCCAAGGGCUCAGGAUGAACCACAUGAGUGCUGCUAAAUCACUUCAGUCGUGUUCAACUCUUUGCAACCCUGUGGACUGCAGCCCGCCAGGGCCCUCUGUCAAUGGGAUUCUCCAGGCAAGAAUACUGGAGUGGGUUGCCAUGCCCUCCUCCAGCACGACCCACACUCUCUGUUUAUGUUGGUCUCUUGAUCUGGGAAACACUUUCCACCUUUCAUCUGGCUAAUUCUUACUGGAUUCUUCAUUUCCCAUCUUCUACUCCAGGAAGUCUUAAGUCCAGACUGGAUCAGGGCCUCCCUUUGUCCUCUCUAUGCAUUGUUCUGCUAUAGCAUCUUCCACAAUACAGUGUAUUAAUAAUCACCUAUUUAUGUGUCUCUCUACCCUACCAGAUUGUGAGCUUUUAGGGAAAACGACUGUAUCCUGUUUAUCCUGAACUCCCCAUGCCUAGGUCAAGAUAAGUGUACUAGAAAUGUUUGUUGUUCAAAUAUAAACUGUGUAUUCUUGAGAAGCAACAAGGUGUAGCAGAAAGAGCAUUGGACAGGACCGGCAAACAGGUGGUGAGCGCCUUUUGGUAACCUCACCAAAACCAGUGAUCACUGCGUCUAGAAGAGGGAUGGAGGCUGCCUCUGAGCUGAGCCAGGAAACCAGAAGACCUAUUAGCACUUUCUCCAUGGGCAUGGAAUGGGGUCACAGUAGACCUCCUGUGACUGUGACCUUUCUGCCCUUGCUACAUAGGCUCCAAGGGGAAAGUCUCCUUCCAAUCCUGGCUUCAUCACUUACGAGCUACCAGUUAUUUAUUAUGCCUGAGCUUCAUCUCUCUGUAACUGUGUCCACUCUCUAUCACAGUUGCUAAGAAAUAAUGUAGAUACAAGCAUUUACAGAAGUGGAUAGUCCUUGAACAAACUGGGUCUUAGUAUUAUUUUAAUUCCUAACAGAAUCAAGCAAUGGUGGUAAAUGCUCAGUUAACAUCUAAUGAAUGAUUAUCUAUCACUGCUAUUAGCAAUCAUAUAUAUCUAUCAUUGUAUCUAUCAUAUAUAUUAUCAUGAUAUUCAUUAUAUCUUGCCAUUGCCUAAGUGCUCUGCCAUAUUUCAAUUACUUCUGACAUAUUUCAGUUGCUAAAAGUGCUUUUGAGUCAACUAUUGGGAAUGGUGUUACUUCAGAAAUGUUUCUUUUAAGCUUGGCUAAGUAAAUAAACAUUUACAGUUAUCUGUACACCUUCAUAAUGUGGGAAUCCCCAUCUAAAAAUCUACAUAAAGUCUUUUAUUUCUACUGUAAGGUACAAACUUUUCUGCUCAGUUGCACUUGUAACUGGGACUUGUCUGCCUGAAAAUACAUUCUUGCUUCAGUAUAUAUAUGGUUAAUUAAAUAAAAGAGUUACAUGGUAACUUGAGUGU
rnacentral:lncRNA from 1 species